GCGGAGUGGAGAAGCGGUAUCUCGAUGGUCUCAUAAGCCAUAGUCUCUGGUUCGAUUCCAGACUCUCGCA
rnacentral:tRNA from 2 species